CCUUCGGGCGCUGACGAGUGGCGGACGGGUGAGUAACGCGUAGGAAUCUGCCUCAUAGUGGGGGACAACGUGGGGAAACUCACGCUAAUACCGCAUACGCCCUACGGGGGAAAGCGGGGGAUCGCAAGACCUCGCGCUAUGAGAUGAGCCUGCGUUAGAUUAGCUAGUUGGUAGGGUAAAGGCCUACCAAGGCGACGAUCUAUAGCUGGUCUGAGAGGACGAUCAGCCACACUGGGACUGAGACACGGCCCAGACUCCUACGGGAGGCAGCAGUGGGGAAUAUUGGACAAUGGGCGCAAGCCUGAUCCAGCAAUACCGCGUGUGUGAAGAAGGCCUUAGGGUUGUAAAGCACUUUCAAUAGGGAGGAAAACCUGCCGGUCAAUACCCGGCAGCUUGACAUUACCUAUACAAGAAGCACCGGCUAACUCCGUGCCAGCAGCCGCGGUAAUACGGAGGGUGCGAGCGUUAAUCGGAAUUACUGGGCGUAAAGCGUGCGUAGGCGGUUCGUUAAGUCAGAUGUGAAAGCCCCGGGCUUAACCUGGGAACUGCAUUUGAAACUGGCGGACUAGAGUUGAGUAGAGGGGAGUGGAAUUUCAGGUGUAGCGGUGAAAUGCGUAGAUAUCUGAAGGAACACCAGUGGCGAAGGCGACUCCCUGGACUAGAACUGACGCUGAGGUACGAAAGCGUGGGUAGCAAACAGGAUUAGAUACCCUGGUAGUCCACGCCGUNNNCGAUGUCGACUAGCCGUUGGUCCUAUUUACAGGAUUAGUGGCGCAGCUAACGCAUUAAGUCGACCGCCNNNNNAGUACGGCCGCAAGGUUAAAACUC
rnacentral:rRNA from 1 species